AGUGGAAAUAAUAUUAGAUAUUGAGUGUUAGUUAUUUAAAAGUUGGAUAUUUGUGCAUCGUUACUAAAUAUUUGCAAUAACAUGAAUACCUACGUAGGUACUUAACCUAGACAAUGACCGUGCAAUCAACAAUACUUAUUUAUUUUCAGUAUGAUUUUAGUACUAAACUGAAUGAAAAUGUGCAAUUUCAUGACAAUUUUAUGCAAUUCUACAGGUUACAGGUAGAUAGAUUUUAAACUGAGAUUUCAACUCUGCCAACGAGCUUAAAUCAACAUAAGUAGGUAAUGAUGCAGCAGUUGAAGGGAUAACAUGAUGCCUGAGCUACUUCAUAUUCAUUAGAAGACGAUGUCCACGGCAGGUAGAGCUACGAGGGAAAAUGAAGAUAACCAAUGUGAUCAUGCUUUAGAUUGUGCAGAGAUACUACCUCUAUAUUCCAGAAAUUAUAGUUGUUGCUCGGAUAGUUACUUAAAUGAUAUCCUUUUAAAAUAAUAGAUUCUUUUCAUUUGAUUGUCAAUUCUGAGCACAAUUAAAACGUUAGUUUAAAUAA